rnacentral:ncRNA from 1 species
GUUUUGACUGAGAAAAAGAGGAGUAACUAUUAACAUCUGACAGAGAUUUGUGUACAUAGGCUGAGAUGCACAUUGAGAAAAGUGAUAGUGAAGGUAGCUUUGGAGUCAUCAGGCUGAAUAGUUAGGUCUGGCGUAGGAUUGCGUUAAAUCAUUUAAGUGCCUGUGUAAGCAGGAAUUAAGGUGGUACCGCGAUGCUUUCGUCCUUUGU